GACGAACGCUGGCGGCGUGCUUAACACAUGCAAGUCGAACGGAAAGGCCCUGCUUUUGUGGGGUGCUCGAGUGGCGAACGGGUGAGUAACACGUGAGUAACCUGCCCUUGACUUUGGGAUAACUUCAGGAAACUGGGGCUAAUACCGGAUAGGAGCUCCUGCUGCAUGGUGGGGGUUGGAAAGUUUCGGCGGUUGGGGAUGGACUCGCGGCUUAUCAGCUUGUUGGUGGGGUAGUGGCUUACCAAGGCUUUGACGGGUAGCCGGCCUGAGAGGGUGACCGGCCACAUUGGGACUGAGAUACGGCCCAGACUCCUACGGGAGGCAGCAGUGGGGAAUAUGGCACAGUGGGCCGAAGCCAGAUGCAGCAACGCCGGGUGCGGGAUGACGGCCUUCGGGUUGUAAACCGCUUUCGCCUGUGACGAAGCGUGAGUGACGGUAAUGGGUAAAGAAGCACCGGCUAACUACGUG
rnacentral:rRNA from 1 species